GAUUACUACUUCCUUGGAUGUUUUCAGGUUAUUGUUUCCUUGCUCCCCUUUGCCGGCAAGCAUUCUCAUCUUCUGGUCACUUGCGUAAGAUACAACAUGCUAAUGCUAUCUUGGUUUGGUUUGCUCUUGCAGAAAAUAAGUGAAAUGUGCAGACCGACAACAUGGACGGCAGGUCUUGCGGCUCCCAGCGCCCUCAACCCCCCACUGACCCUCUCUCAAUUUUGAUCUCUCCUCUACUCUUCUGGGUGGCGGUGAGAGCGGGUGUGAAACGGGAGAGGCGGCCAUAGGAGGUAUAUGAUAGGAAAAGAAUUGCUCUAUGGCAGUGCUUUGACUCGGUGACCAGAGACUGACUGGGUGUGCUUGCAGUUUGAGGUUGAUUUUUUCUGGUAUACAUAUAAUUGGAGGUAGGCGCCAUGGACGCCGCUCUUGUGCUCAUCAAGGUCCGCUGCUCCUUGUUCCAGUCCCAUGACAAGCAGCAGCAG